rnacentral:rRNA from 1 species
AGGUGGCAAGCGUUGUCCGGAUUUAUUGGGCGUAAAGCGAGCGCAGGCGGUCUUUUAAGUCUGAUGUGAAAGCCUCCGGCUUAACCGGGGAGGGUCAUUGGAAACUGGGAGACUUGAGUGCAGAAGAGGAAAGCGGAAUUCCAUGUGUAGCGGUGAAAUGCGUAGAUAUAUGGAGGAACACCAGUGGCGAAGGCGGCUUUCUGGUCUGUAACUGACGCUGAGGCUCGAAAGCGUGGGGAGCAAA